ACGCUAUCACUCCUACGGGAGGCAGCAGUGAGGAAUAUUUGGGCAAUGGAGGCAACUCUGACCCAGCCAUGCCGCGUGCAGGAAGACGGCCCUAUGGGUUGUAAACUGCUUUUUAUACAGGAGAAACGCAUCUACGUGUAGGUGUUUGACGGUACUGUAAGAAUAAGGAUCGGCUAACUACGUGCCAGCAGCCGCGGUAAUACGGAGGAUUCGAGCGUUAUCCGGAAUCAUUGGGUUUAAAGGGUCCGUAGGCGGUCUUAUAAGUCAGUGGUGAAAUCUUCCAGCUCAACUGGGAAACUGCCAUUGAUACUGUAGGACUUGAAUAUUUGUGAAGUAACUAGAAUAUGUAGUGUAGCGGUGAAAUGCUUAGAUAUUACAUGGAAUACCAAUUGCGAAGGCAGGUUACUAACAGAUUAUUGACGCUGAUGGACGAAAGCGUGGGUAGCGAACAGGAUUAGAUACCCUGGUAG
rnacentral:rRNA from 1 species